rnacentral:rRNA from 1 species
GUGCAUGGUUGUCGUCAGCUCGUGUCGUGAGAUGUUGGGUUAAGUCCCGCAACGAGCGCAACCCUUAUUGUUAGUUGCCAUCAUUCAGUUGGGCACUCUAGCAAGACUGCCGGUGACAAACCGGAGGAAGGUGGGGAUGACGUCAAAUCAUCAUGCCCCUUAUGACCUGGGCUACACACGUGCUACAAUGGGAAGUACAACGAGUUGCGAAGUCGCGAGGCUAAGCUAAUCUCUUAAAGCUUCUCUCAGUUCGGAUUGCAGGCUGCAACUCGCCUGCAUGAAGCCGGAAUCGCUAGUAAUCGCGGAUCAGCACGCCGCGGUGAAUACGUUCCCGGGCCUUGUACACACCGCCCGUCACACCACGAGAGUUUGUAACACCCGAAGUCGGUGAGGUAACCUUUUUGGAGCCAGCCGCCUAAGGUGGGAUAGAUGAUUGGGGUGAAGUCGUAACAAGGUAGCCGUAUCGGAAGGUGCGGCUGGAUCACCUCCUUUCUAAGGAA